CAGUCCCAAUGAUGUCAGCACUGGGCUCUGAAACCCAUGUAUGAGAAUUGUGCCCCACUGUCUUGACAUGCAGUGGGUCUGAGGGACAA